rnacentral:rRNA from 1 species
CAGUCGCCACGGUAAUACAGAGGGUGCGAGCGUUAAUCGGAUUUACUGGGCGUAAAGCGUGCGUAGGCGGCUUUUUAAGUCGGAUGUGAAAUCCCUGAGCUUAACUUAGGAAUUGCAUUCGAUACUGGGAAGCUAGAGUAUGGGAGAGGAUGGUAGAAUUCCAGGUGUAGCGGUGAAAUGCGUAGAGAUCUGGAGGAAUACCGAUGGCGAAGGCAGCCAUCUGGCCUAAUACUGACGCUGAGGUACGAAAGCAUGGGGAGCAAACAGGAUUAGAUACCCCCGUAGUCCAUGUCUCUUAUAC